rnacentral:rRNA from 1 species
UACGUAGGGGGCUAGCGUUGUCCGGAUUUAUUGGGCGUAAAGAGCGUGUAGGCGGCCAGAUAGGUCUGCUGUGAAAACUCGAGGCUCAACCUCGAGAUGUCGGCGGAAACCAUUUGGCUAGAGUCCGGAAGAGGAAAGUGGAAUUCCUGGUGUAGCGGUGAAAUGCGCAGAUAUCAGGAAGAACACCCGUGGCGAAGGCGGCCAUCUGGACCGGCACUGACGCUGAGGCGCGAAAGCGUGGGGAGCAAACAGG